UGCGUAGGCGGAUCUGUAAGUCAGUGGUGAAAUCUCAUAGCUUAACUAUGAAACUGCCAUUGAUACUGCAGGUCUUGAGUAAGGUAGAAGUAGCUGGAAUAAGUAGUGUAGCGGUGAAAUGCAUAGAUAUUACUUAGAACACCAAUUGCGAAGGCAGGUUACUAUGUCUUAACUGACGCUGAUGGACGAAAGCGUGGGGAGCGAACAGGAUUAGAUACCCUGGUAGUC
rnacentral:rRNA from 1 species